GGAGAGAUGGCAGAGCCUGGCUGAAUGCGCCGCACUCGAAAUGCGGUAUAUCUUAAUUGAUAUCGGGGGUUCGAAUCCCUCUCUCUCCG
rnacentral:tRNA from 1 species